UUUCAUAUUUUUAUAAAGUAUUUUAAUAUCAUUUCAAAAUAGCCAAUUUUAAUUGAAUGGUUGGUUUUAUAAACCAAUGUUAAAUCAACUUUCAAAAAAUAUAUAUUAUUAUUAUUUCAUUAUUUUCGAACUUAAUUUUUAAGGUUUAAUUUAAUUGUUGUUAUUAUUAUUAUUAUUAUUAUACACAAAAAUUUCAUUUUUGGACUUGAUUGAAAAAUAUGAAAAAGUUUAAGGACUAGUUAUGUAAUUAAAAGAUUAAAAAAAAUCAGAUAUUUUUUCGGCAAGGCCCCCCUGUCUCUCUCUCUCUCUUCUACUCUCUCCCCCACCCUCCCCUCCAUUUUUUUCUACAACCCUCAACCACCCACCUUUGGCAUGACUUUCCCCCACAUCCUUCCUGCACGAAUGACGACGGCGAGGCAUCAGACAGGAGGAGAGAGAGAAAAGUCACGCAAAGAGGGGCCCAACUUUCUGAUGUCUUUUCGGCCGAUUCCAGUGGCCAUUUUUUGCGAUUCUAAGUGCCACGAAUUCCUGAAAUGACAGGGUUUCAGAUGGGACCAGUGGCACUCCGUUUGGUGGCCAGAGAAAGGAGAAUCAUCGAGGAAAAGUUGGAAGGAAAACACAUGAGUUUCAAGCUUUUCGGUCACUUUUUCGGCUAUUCGACCAUUGGAUUAAAAAUUUAAGGCCACCGAUGGACUCAGGGCGACGAAAUCUUUGAGAUGGGACCGACCCCGCUCCAAUCAGACAACAUUUGAAAAAGACUAUCAUCGGAUGGCCCAAGUCACUUGGUGCAUUCGAAUCAAUAAUAGCUCACCAAACGUCGGGAUUGUGUUUUUGACCAAAUCCAGUGGCCCGGUGGUCCGUCCUAAACCGUGGCCAAUAUUAUAGUCGAUUCUAGCAUUUUCAGACGCCUCGGAUGAGUUCCAAGUAUUAGAAUCAACAUAGGUGAGUCGGGCCAGCCUUCCUCCUUAGCCCAGCCUCCUCGGUGAUCAACGAUUAAUUUGUGAGUAGAUAUUGAUUUUAAUUACAAUUUUAAUAUUAUUAUAUAUUCAAGGCAUGCUCAUACAUCAUAUAUAAAUAUAUGUAUGUAACUAAAUACUAGGCACAUUUUAUGUUGUAUUUUCUUAAUUGCAAAAAUGGAUGUGGAUGUCACCUUAGGGUAAUUUAGAGCUGUGUGCGUGUGUCAAUAUGCGUGUGGUGUGGUGUGAUAAAUAUGGGUAAGAUGGGCAAGUCGGCUUAAGCUUGUCUCACUUGGGGCCCGGUUCUUUUGAGGAAGUCGGGGUGAGUACUGUUUUGAGUUGAUCUUGCUGA